UACGUAGGGGGCAAGCGUUGUCCGGAAUCAUUGGGCGUAAAGCGCGUGUAGGCGGCUCGGUAAGUCUGCUGUGAAAGUCCAGGGCUCAACCCUGGGAUGCCGGUGGAUACUGUCGAGCUCGAGUCCGGAAGAGGCGAGUGGAAUUCCUGGUGUAGCGGUGAAAUGCGCAGAUAUCAGGGGGAACACCAAUGGCUAAGGCAGCUCGCUGGGACGUGACUGACGCUGAGACGCUAAAGCGUGGGGAGCAAACAGG
rnacentral:rRNA from 1 species